rnacentral:misc_RNA from 1 species
GAUGAAGAACGUAGUGAAAUGCGAUACGUAAUGUGAAUUGCAGAAUUCAGUGAAUCAUCGAAUCUUUGAACGCACAUUGCGCCCGCCAGUAUUCUGGCGGGCAUGCCUGUUCGAGCGUCAUUUCAACCCUCAAGCCCCCGGGCUUGGUGUUGGGGAUCGGCGUGCCCUCGCGGCGCGCCGUCCCCUAAAUCUAGUGGCGGUCUCGCUGUAGCUUCCUCUGCGUAGUAGCAACACUCGCACUGGAUCGCAGCGCGGCCACGCCGUUAAACCCCCCACUUCUGAAAGUUUGACCUCGGAUCAGGUAGGAAUACCCGCUGAACUUAAGCAUAUCAAUAAGCGGAGGA